GACGAACGCUGGCGGCGUGCCUAAUACAUGCAAGUCGAGCGCAUUUUCUUUCAACUUGUAUCACUUCGACGAGCGACGAUCGGGUGCGUACGGCGUAGGAACACUUGCUUAACCUGCCCAACAGCGGGUGGUAACGCUUGCUAAUAGCGCCUAAUACCGUUUAAUACAAUUUUUAGCAUUGAAAGUGGCUGAUACACGCUUUUGCGAUGCUCCCGCGUUGUAUUAGCUAGUUGGUGGGGUAAAGGCCUACCAAGGCGAAGAUACAUAGCCGACCUGAGAGGGUGAUCGGCCACAUUGGGACUGAGACACGGCCCAGACUCCUACGGGAGGCAGCAGUAGGGAAUCUUCGGCAAUGGACGAAAGUCUGACCGAGCAACGCCGCGUGAGUGAAGAAGGUUUUCGGAUCGUAAAACUCUGUUGUUAGAGAAGAACAAUGGUGAGAGUGGAAAGCUCAUCCAGUGACGGUAACUAACCAGAAAGCCACGGCUAACUACGUG
rnacentral:rRNA from 1 species